UGGAGUAUGUUGUUAAUUACGUAAGAUACACGAAGAACCUUACCAGGUCUUGACAUACCAUUGACAGGGUCUAGAGAUAGACUCUCCUUCGGGCAAUGGAUACAGGUGGUGCAUGGUUGUCGUCAGCUCGUGCCGUGAGGUGUUGGGUUAAGUCCCGCAACGAGCGCAACCCUCAUUGUUAGUUACUACCAUUCAGUUGAGGACUCUAAUGAGACUGCCAACGACAAGUUGGAGGAAGGUGGGGAUGACGUCAAAUCAUCAUGCCCUUUAUGACCUGGGCUACAAACGUACUACAAUGGCCAAUACAAAGAGAUGCGAAGCGGUGACGUGGAGCGAACCUCAGAAAGUUGGUCUCAGUUCAGAUUGAAGUCUGCAACUCGACUUCAUGAAGGCGGAAUCGCUAGUAAUCGCGGGUCAGCAGACCGCGGUGAAUACGUUCCCGGGUUUU
rnacentral:rRNA from 1 species